rnacentral:rRNA from 1 species
AACGAACGCUGGCGGCAUGCCUAACACAUGCAAGUCGAACGAGAUCUUCGGGUCUAGUGGCGCACGGGUGCGUAACGCGUGGGAAUCUGCCCUUUGGUUCGGAAUAACAGUCGGAAACGACUGCUAAUACCGGAUGAUGACGAAAGUCCAAAGAUUUAUCGCCAGAGGAUGAGCCCGCGUAGGAUUAGCUAGUUGGUGUGGUAAAGGCGCACCAAGGCGACGAUCCUUAGCUGGUCUGAGAGGAUGAUCAGCCACACUGGGACUGAGACACGGCCCAGACUCCUACGGGAGGCAGCAGUGGGGAAUAUUGGACAAUGGGCGAAAGCCUGAUCCAGCAAUGCCGCGUGAGUGAUGAAGGCCUUAGGGUUGUAAGGCUCUUUUACCCGGGAUGAUAAUGACAGUACCGGGAGAAUAAGCUCCGGCUAACUCCGUGCCAGCCGCCGCGGUAA